GCAGCCAGUGGGAACCCUGAGGGAUCUGUGAGAUCACUCAUUCCAUUCACAGACUCUUGUCAGACAGCAGCCACCAGCUCACCUCCAUCCCCAGGACUUAGAGGGACACAGGGCAUUGGGAACAGAGGACACUCCAGGCGCUGACCCUGGGAGGCCAGGACCAGGGCCAAAGUCCCGUGGGCAGGAGGAGUCCUCGGAGGUCCUUCAUUCAGCAGUUCCGGGAGGCCUAGGAAGCCCACGGCCUGGCUGGGGCAGCGUCAACGCCGCCAGGCCGCCAUGGUCCUGUGCUGGCUGCUGCUUCUGGUGAUGGCUCUGCCCCCAGGCACGACGGGCGUCAAGGAGUGCAUCUUCUGUGAGCUCACCGACUCCACGCAGUGUCCCGGCACCUCCAUGCGCUGUGGUGAUGACGAGGACUGCUUCACAGGCCGGGGGAUCGCCCCAGGCACCGGUCCGGUCAUCAACAAAGGCUGCCUUCGAGCCACCAGCUGCGGCCGGGAGGAACCUGUCAGCUACAGGGGCGUCACCUACAGCCUCACCACCACCUGCUGCAGCGGCCGCCUGUGUAACAGAGCUCUGGGCUCCUCGAGCAGCCAGACGGUGGGGGCCACCACCAGCCUGGCACUGGGGCUGGGUAUGCUGCUCCCUUCACGUUUGCUGUGACCAACAGGGAGGACGAGGCCUGGGACUGUUCUCCCAGAUCUGCCACUCCUCACGUCCCCGUCUCCUUCUCCCACUAAAUGGCCAGAGAGGCCCUGGACAACCUCUUGCGGCCCUGGCUUCAUCCCUUCUAAGGCUGUCCACCAGGAGCCCGGUGUUCAGGGAAGCACCCCCAGGCCUGAUUGAGCGGCAGAGGAGCACGGCCUGUGGGUUUGAUUGUAAUACUCUAUUCUACCGGUUCUAAGAUGCAGAGCUUCUCACGUUUCAAUCACGAUGCUUCUCUCCAUUGGUGGCACCUUAGAGUCCAUGAAAUACGCGAUAAGAUCCAGCUAUGUUGUCCGGGGGGUCUCAGAUUCCUGGGCUCAAGUGAUCCUCCCACCUCAGCCUCUCAAAGUGCUGGGAUUACAGGUGUGAGCCAUGGCACCCGGCCAAGACUGUCUUAUGUUACGUGCCACGGAAUCCUCACACAA